AACGUAGGUUCCGAGCGUUAUCCGGAUUUACUGGGCGUAAAGCGCGUUCAGGCGGUUUGGCAAGUCGGGCAUGAAAUCUCUCGGCUCAAUCGGGAGAGGUUGUCCGAUACUGCUGGACUUGAGGGCAGUAGAGGGUGGUGGAAUUCCGGGUGUAGUGGUGAAAUGCGUAGAUAUCCGGAGGAACACCAGUGGCGAAAGCGGCCACCUGGACUGCACCUGACGCUGACACGCGAAAGCUAGGGGAGCGAACGGG
rnacentral:rRNA from 1 species